UGUGAGAAAGUCAUCGCUCUGUAAUUGGCCCUUGGACUCCCCUGGCAUCUCGUGUACAGCAUGAAGUUUUCAGCUAUGAAGAUUUCCAGAGACUCCAGAAUGAAAAACAAGCCGUGAUGGAUGAGAACCAAGCCCUUAGGGAGGAGAACCAAGCUCUGAGGGAGGAGAACCGAGCUCUGAGGGAAAGCACUGCACCCGAAGCUUCGGAUGACAGCGGCUCACCUUAA